rnacentral:rRNA from 1 species
AGAGUUUGAUCAUGGCUCAGGAUGAACGCUGGCGGCGUGCUUAACACAUGCAAGUCGAACGGGAAUUACUUUAUUGAAACUUCGGUCGAUUUAAUUUAAUUCUAGUGGCGGACGGGUGAGUAACGCGUGGGUAACCUGCCUUAUACAGGGGGAUAACAGUCAGAAAUGGCUGCUAAUACCGCAUAAGCGCACAGAGCUGCAUGGCUCGGUGUGAAAAACUCCGGUGGUAUAAGAUGGACCCGCGUUGGAUUAGCUGGUUGGUGGGGUAACGGCCCACCAAGGCGACGAUCCAUAGCCGGCCUGAGAGGGUGAACGGCCACAUUGGGACUGAGACACGGCCCAGACUCCUACGGGAGGCAGCAGUGGGGAAUAUUGCACAAUGGGGGAAACCCUGAUGCAGCGACGCCGCGUGAAGGAAGAAGUAUCUCGGUAUGUAAACUUCUAUCAGCAGGGAAGAUAGUGACGGUACCUGACCAAGAAGCCCCGGCUAACUACGUGCCAGCAGCCGCGGUAAUACGUAGGGGGCAAGCGUUAUCCGGAUUUACUGGGUGUAAAGGGAGCGCAGGCGGGAAGACAAGUUGGAAGUGAAAUCCAUGGGCUCAACCCAUGAACUGCUUUCAAAACUGUUUUUCUUGAGUAGUGCAGAGGUAGGCGGAAUUCCCGGUGUAGCGGUGGAAUGCGUAGAUAUCGGGAGGAACACCAGUGGCGAAGGCGGCCUACUGGGCACCAACUGACGCUGAGGCUCGAAAGUGUGGGUAGCAAACAGGAUUAGAUACCCUGGUAGUCCACACUGUAAACGAUGAUUACUAGGUGUUGGAGGAUUGACCCCUUCAGUGCCGCAGUUAACACAAUAAGUAAUCCACCUGGGGAGUACGACCGCAAGGUUGAAACUCAAAGGGAUUGACGGGGGCCCGCACAAGCAGUGGAGUAUGUGGUUUAAUUCGACGCAACGCGAAGAACCUUACCAAGUCUUGACAUCCCUUGACGAUGCUGGAAACAGUAUUUCUCUUCGGAGCAAGGAGACAGGUGGUGCAUGGUUGUCGUCAGCUCGUGUCGUGAGAUGUUGGGUUAAGUCCCGCAACGAGCGCAACCCUUAUGGUCAGUUACUACGCAAGAGGACUCUGGCCAGACUGCCGUUGACAAAACGGAGGAAGGUGGGGAUGACGUCAAAUCAUCAUGCCCUUUAUGACUUGGGCUACACACGUACUACAAUGGCGUUAAACAAAGAGAAGCAAGACCGCGAGGUGGAGCAAAACUCAGAAACAACGUCCCAGUUCGGACUGCAGGCUGCAACUCGCCUGCACGAAGUCGGAAUUGCUAGUAAUCGCAGAUCAGCAUGCUGCGGUGAAUACGUUCCCGGGCCUUGUACACACCGCACGUCACACCAUGAGAGCCGGGGGGACCCGAAGUCGGUAGUCUAACCGCAAGGAGGACGCCGCCGAAGGUAAAACUGGUGAUUGGGGUGAAGUCGUAACAAGGUA